rnacentral:rRNA from 1 species
CCUACGGGUCGCACCAGUGGGGAAUAUUGCACAAUGGGCGCAAGCCUGAUGCAGCCAUGCCGCGUGUAUGAAGAAGGCCUUCGGGUUGUAAAGUACUUUCAGCGAGGAGGAAGGCAUCAAGGUUAAUAACCUUGGUGAUUGACGUUACUCGCAGAAGAAGCACCGGCUAACUCCGUGCCAGCAGCCGCGGUAAUACGGAGGGUGCAAGCGUUAAUCGGAAUUACUGGGCGUAAGCGCACGCAGGCGGUCUGUCAAGUCGGAUGUGAAAUCCCCGGGCUCAACCUGGGAGCUGCAUUCGAAACUGGCAGGCUAGAGUCUUGUAGAGGGGGUUAGAAUUCCAGGUGUAGCGGUGAAAUGCGUAGAGAUCUGGAGGAAUACCGGUGGCGAAGGCGGCCCCCUGGACAAAGACUGACGCUCAGGUGCGAAAGCGUGGGGAGCAAACAGGAUUAGAUACCCCCGUAGUC